GAUGAAGAACGUAGCGAAAUGCGAUACGUAAUGUGAAUUGCAGAAUUCAGUGAAUCAUCGAAUCUUUGAACGCACAUUGCGCCCGCCAGCAUUCUGGCGGGCAUGCCUGUUCGAGCGUCAUUUCAACCCUCGAGCCCGACUUCCUUGCGGAGGACGGCUCGGCGUUGGGGGACGGCACACUCCCCCCGGCUCGCCGGGGACGCCGCCCCCGAAAUUCAGUGGCGGCCCUCGGAGGCGACCUCUGCGUAGUAACUCAACCUCGCAAAGGGAAGCUCCGAGCGGCCACGCCGUGAAACCCCAACUAUAUCAAGGUUGACCUCGAAUCAGGUAGGACUACCCGCUGAACUUAAGCAUAUCAAUAAGCGGAGGA
rnacentral:misc_RNA from 1 species